rnacentral:lncRNA from 1 species
GUUGCGUUCAAGCUUCGAUAUAUCAAAGCAAUUAAACUAAUAGAGGUGGAUUCAAAUACGGAGAAAGACUGAUUAUAUGAAUUGGAUCUAUUAGUGUCACAAUUGACUGUACUCUAGCUAUCUAAAAUCAAUUAUCAAACUACAAAACACCAAGGCUUACUACUUCUAUCUUAAUUCAACACAUAAUCCAUUCUAUGAGUAUCAAUUCAACAAUACUUCUCUCAAUCAAAAUUCUUCAUAAGCAAAUAAUAAAAGCAAAGAAAACAAAGAGGUAGCACCAAGCUUACCUUAGCUUAUGACUCUCACAAUCUAGCUUUGAUCUUUCUUUCCUCAACCUAUUUAUCCUACCAAAAAGAUGAUCCAUUGGCCAACAGAUUCCAAAGGUUAUCAUCCUUUGAAUUCUUAACCAUUUGUUCCACUAACAUCCUAUUGUUACCAACUAAACUACCUAACCAUAAGUCUAAUUCUCAAGGUUAUCAAUAACCAACCAGUAACUUACCACAAAAUUUAUUUACUUAUUCUGCAUAGCUCCACUGCUAAUUAUGCAGCGUCCUCACAAACAUCAUUUAGCCUCAACUUAUAAAGACGUAGCAGCGUAUAUCUCCAAAGGUGUUGUUGCUAAAACUAGCGUAUUGGUCCGCAUUAAAUUAUUGGCCUCCUUCGCUAAUGCGGCUAGUUCAGUCUGCAACAUCGCAACCUCUACCUGUAGUCGUUCUUGUCGUUCUUUCCAAUCAAUCUCCAUCCUCACUUUCUCAGACAUCAUGUUCGUCAUCUUUUCCUUAACCACAAAAGAAAACAUGAUGCUUAUCAAGAGUCCCCCUCCUACUUCUUAUUAUGAUCCAAUCAAUUG